rnacentral:rRNA from 1 species
GUGGGGAAUUUUGCGCAAUGGGGGAAACCCUGACGCAGCAACGCCGCGUGAGUGAUGAAGGCCUUCGGGUCGUAAAGCUCUGUCAGAGGGAAAGAAGUGCGAGAGGGUUAAUACCCCUUUUGCUUGACGGUACCCUCAAAGGAAGCACCGGCUAACUCCGUGCCAGCAGCCGCGGUAAUACGGAGGGUGCGAGCGUUGUUCGGAAUUAUUGGGCGUAAAGCGCGUGUAGGCGGUCUUUUAAGUCUGAUGUGAAAGCCCCGGGCUCAACCUGGGAAGUGCAUUGGAAACUGGGAGACUUGAAUACGGGAGAGGGUAGUGGAAUUCCUAGUGUAGGAGUGAAAUCCGUAGAUAUUAGGAGGAACACCGGUGGCGAAGGCGGCUACCUGGACCGAUAUUGACGCUGAGACGCGAAAGCGUGGGGAGCAAACAGGAUUAGAAACCCUAGUAGUCC